UGCCGGAAAUAUAAAGAAGAAGAAGAAGACGUUCCGUCCGCAUUCAUCAUGGCUCCUCCGGUCGUAGUGUCACCGCUCAUUAAGACGGCCAGAUGGUCCGCCCUGCUGCUCGGAGUGAUAUAUGGCAAACAGAGGUUUGAUUACCUCAAACCCAUCGCUGAGGAGGAGAAGAGGGUUGAAGAAGCUGAGAAGAAGGUUAGAGAGGAGCGGGAGCGCAUCUACAAACAAUUGUCUGAAGGAAAUUCUGACACCAUCCUUAAAUGAACUGCAUCUGGACCUAUGCUGAUAUAUUCUAAACUUAAUAAAAAAUGUGAAUAUUUUUUCAUGUAAUAA